rnacentral:rRNA from 1 species
UACGAAGGGGGCUAGCGUUGCUCGGAAUCACUGGGCGUAAAGCGCACGUAGGCGGAUCUUUAAGUCAGGGGUGAAAUCCGAGCUCAACUCGAACUGCCUUUGAUACUGGGGAUCUCGAGUCCGGGAGAGGUGAGUGGAACUGCGAGUGUAGAGGUGAAAUUCGUAGAUAUUCGCAAGAACACCAGUGGCGAAGGCGGCUCACUGGCCCGGAACUGACGCUGACGGUGCGAAAGCGUGGGAGCAACAGGAUAG